UGCAAGUCGAACGGCAGCACAGGAGAGCUUGCUCUCUGGGUGGCGAGUGGCGGACGGGUGAGGAAUACAUCGGAAUCUACUCUGUCGUGGGGGAUAACGUAGGGAAACUUACGCUAAUACCGCAUACGACCUACGGGUGAAAGCAGGGGAUCUUCGGACCUUGCGCGAUUGAAUGAGCCGAUGUCGGAUUAGCUAGUUGGCGGGGUAAAGGCCCACCAAGGCGACGAUCCGUAGCUGGUCUGAGAGGAUGAUCAGCCACACUGGAACUGAGACACGGUCCAGACUCCUACGGGAGGCAGCAGUGGGGAAUAUUGGACAAUGGGCGCAAGCCUGAUCCAGCCAUACCGCGUGGGUGAAGAAGGCCUUCGGGUUGUAAAGCCCUUUUGUUGGGAAAGAAAUCCAGCCGGCUAAUACCUGGUUGGGAUGACGGUACCCAAAGAAUAAGCACCGGCUAACUUCGUGCCAGCAGC
rnacentral:rRNA from 1 species